UAAGGGCGCACGGUGGAUGCCUUGGCACUAGAAGCCGAUGAAGGACGUUACUAACGACGAUAUGCUUUGGGGAGCUGUAAGUAAGCUUUGAUCCAGAGAUUUCCGAAUGGGGAAACCCAGCAUGAGUUAUGUCAUGUUAUCGAUAUGUGAAUACAUAGCAUAUCAGAAGGCACACCCGGAGAACUGAAACAUCUUAGUACCCGGAGGAAGAGAAAGAAAAUUCGAUUCCCUUAGUAGCGGCGAGCGAAACGGGAAGAGCCCAAACCAACAAGCUUGCUUGUUGGGGUUGUAGGACACUCUAUACGGAGUUACAAAGGACGACAUUAGACGAAUCAUCUGGAAAGAUGAAUCAAAGAAGGUAAUAAUCCUGUAGUCGAAAAUGUUGUCUCUCUUGAGUGGAUCCUGAGUACGACGGAGCACGUGAAAUUCCGUCGGAAUCUGGGAGGACCAUCUCCUAAGGCUAAAUACUCUCUAGUGACCGAUAGUGAACCAGUACCGUGAGGGAAAGGUGAAAAGCACCCCGGAAGGGGAGUGAAAUAGAACCUGAAACCGUGUGCUUACAAGUAGUCAGAGCCCGUUAAUGGGUGAUGGCGUGCCUUUUGUAGAAUGAACCGGCGAGUUACGAUUUGAUGCAAGGUUAAGCAGUAAAUGUGGAGCCGUAGCGAAAGCGAGUCUGAAUAGGGCGUUUAGUAUUUGGUCGUAGACCCGAAACCAGGUGAUCUACCCUUGGUCAGGUUGAAGUUCAGGUAACACUGAAUGGAGGACCGAACCGACUUACGUUGAAAAGUGAGCGGAUGAACUGAGGGUAGCGGAGAAAUUCCAAUCGAACCUGGAGAUAGCUGGUUCUCUCCGAAAUAGCUUUAGGGCUAGCCUCAAGUGAUGAUUAUUGGAGGUAGAGCACUGUUUGGACGAGGGGCCCCUCUCGGGUUACCGAAUUCAGACAAACUCCGAAUGCCAAUUAAUUUAACUUGGGAGUCAGAACAUGGGUGAUAAGGUCCGUGUUCGAAAGGGAAACAGCCCAGACCACCAGCUAAGGUCCCAAAAUAUAUGUUAAGUGGAAAAGGAUGUGGCGUUGCCCAGACAACUAGGAUGUUGGCUUAGAAGCAGCCAUCAUUUAAAGAGUGCGUAAUAGCUCACUAGUCGAGUGACACUGCGCCGAAAAUGUACCGGGGCUAAACAUAUUACCGAAGCUGUGGAUUGUCCUUUGGACAAUGGUAGGAGAGCGUUCUAAGGGCGUUGAAGCAUGAUCGUAAGGACAUGUGGAGCGCUUAGAAGUGAGAAUGCCGGUGUGAGUAGCGAAAGACGGGUGAGAAUCCCGUCCACCGAUUGACUAAGGUUUCCAGAGGAAGGCUCGUCCGCUCUGGGUUAGUCGGGUCCUAAGCUGAGGCCGACAGGCGUAGGCGAUGGAUAACAGGUUGAUAUUCCUGUACCACCUAUAAUCGUUUUAAUCGAUGGGGGGACGCAGUAGGAUAGGCGAAGCGUGCGAUUGGAUUGCACGUCUAAGCAGUAAGGCUGAGUAUUAGG
rnacentral:rRNA from 1 species